rnacentral:rRNA from 1 species
GUAACGGGUGGAGCUGACUGGUACUAAUAGGCCGAGGGCUUGUCCUCAGUUG